rnacentral:lncRNA from 1 species
CAUGGGUAUGCAUUUCAGCAAGGCAGCCGUCACACACUGCCCGUCCCUCCAGGAGAAACAGAGGCCACGCACACAACUGAUGCUCCAGGAGGCCAAGAAAAUGGAAAGGAACAUUUUGUGGCAAUGUCAGACCUCCUGUGAGAUUGCCAGUAGGGCCAUGAGAUACAGCAGUGACCACAUUGUUCCUCCAGGCGUGGAUGGUGAAGGAAAUGCAAAUGCCAUAGAAGAUAUACAGAAGUACUGCCUGGCACUUGCUGCAGCUUUCCUGGUUUCCAUGCUGGUAGCGAUGAUUACGUGCUGUCUUCUUAUCCAGCAACGGUGGCAGAGAAACCAGCACCUCGCUGCAGCUGCCGGAGCCCAGCCCGAUGCCCGUGCCCACACCUCGCACUUGGACGGAUGGCCUGCUUUCUUCAAGGCGCCCGACAAACAGACACGGUUCCAACGGCGAACACCUGUGCCGGGACGACCUGCCCACUGGCAGCAGGGCACCACCAGAGCGGCCCCUGCCAGGCCAGAUAGCUGCCGGGCUCAGCUGCCCCUGCCUCGGCCCUCACAGCCCACCAACCCAGGCUCCGUGGCACCCAGGAUGUGCAACAGGCCCAGCAGCCCCCAGCUGCCCCAGGCAUCAAUACCGCCCCCCCGUCCCCCUCCACCCUCUUUCAGGGAGCGGGAGGAACUCGCCCUGGUUGGAGGCUUGUGGUCAUCGGCCGGCACCCAAACAAAGGCUCCUUGGCAGAUGAGUGACAGGCCCAGCUGCCCCCGGGCAUCAACACCACCACCCCGUCCCCCUCCACCAUCCUUCAGGGGAUAGGAACAGUUCCCCCAGGCUGUAGGCUUGACAGCUCUGUCCUUCAGGAGGUUGGAGCAGGCCACCCAAGGUGUCGGUUUGCGGGCAUCAUCCAACACCCAGAAUACCACUGCCAGGGGGAAGUAUGACAGGCCCAGCAGCCCCCAGCCCUGGACAGCAGCCACCAGACAGCAGGCACCAUCCUGCUCUGACUAGGAGGCAGUAAUUUGCUCUGCAAUAGGAACCAAGCAAGAACUAUUAGCACAUUUUCUUCCUCCUCUAUUUCAUUUCACUUUGUGGGCUAGAAUGAAAAUCUGGAAGUUGAGAGAGAAGGGAUGAAGACAGUGCUGUAAACCUCGUAUGUCUGCCACUGCUAUCACUCUGUGAUAAAGCACUAGCUUUAUCAUAGAGUGAUAGCUCUCCAGCACCUGCCCGAGGUCACUGAUUUCUCAGGAUCCUCCAAGGGGUGCAACAUUCCUGUGUUUCCUCUCAACUCUCAGCACUGCUACACUCUUCAAG